CAGUGUUAUAACUCUUGUAGGAUUUGUCUGGCAGGUUUUCUGGUUCUCACUGGAAGAUUCCA
rnacentral:snRNA from 1 species